GACGAACGCUGGCGGCGUGCUUAACACAUGCAAGUCGAACGGAAAGGCCCUUCUUUGGUGGGGUACUCGAGUGGCGAACGGGUGAGUAACACGUGGGUAACCUGCCCUGCACUUUGGGAUAACUUCGGGAAACUGGGGCUAAUACCGGAUAGGACCUCCUUCUGCAUGCUGUUGUUGGAAGAUUUUGCGGUGUGGGAUGUGCUCGCGGCUUAUCAGCUUGUUGGUGGGGUAGUGGCGUACCAAGGCGUCGACGGGUAGCCGGCCUGAGAGGGUGUACGGCCACAUUGGGACUGAGAUACGGCCCAGACUCCUACGGGAGGCAGCAGUGGGGAAUAUUGCACAAUGGGCGGAAGCCUGAUGCAGCAACGCCGCGUGCGGGAUGACGGCCUUCGGGUUGUAAACCGCUUUCGCCUGUGACGAAGCGUGAGUGACGGUAAUGGGUAAAGAAGCACCGGCUAACUACGUG
rnacentral:rRNA from 1 species